CAAGAAACCACCACCGCUGCAUGAUGUUGUUUUAAUUGUCUGAAACGAAGAAUUACUACUGUCAACAAGAGUGCACAGAAAAUUAAGUGAAUAUCACCAAACACAACCAGCUUUCAGCCAGGAAAAGACGACAAUAGGUUCAUUCGCUUCUUCAAAACUCGCCAAAUGAGCUCAAUGGCCAAGAUAAGGUCAGGGUGAUCAUCAAUUGGAAACGAUUCUUGAUAUCUACAUUCGCUGAUAACAUUCAAUUCAAAAUUUCAAUUGGCAAGAUAACUGGAGCAUAUUCGAUUCGAUGAUCAAUACGUUAAACCAAUGGCAAUUCAAGACAUUAACCCUUCUAUAGCCGCGACCACACGACACUAUGAUAAAGCGAAAACGAUGCCGUUACGAAACGAUGUCUCGCCGCAAAAUCAACCAUCGUCCCAAGACGCUUGCAAUUGUAUAUGUUCGAACCGACGUUUAAAGCUACUUUGCACCAACCAUCAAAGUUUAUUCAUAUUUAUUUUGCCUCGAGAAUAAAAACAGUUAACGUAGAAA